rnacentral:rRNA from 1 species
UGGGGAAUAUUGCACAAUGGGCGCAAGCCUGAUGCAGCCAUGCCGCGUGUAUGAAGAAGGCCUUCGGGUUGUAAAGUACUUUCAGCGGGGAGGAAGGGAGUAAAGUUAAUACCUUUGCUCAUUGACGUUACCCGCAGAAGAAGCACCGGCUAACUCCGUGCCAGCAGCCGCGGUAAUACGGAGGGUGCAAGCGUUAAUCGGAAUUACUGGGCGUAAAGCGCACGCAGGCGGUUUGUUAAGUCAGAUGUGAAAUCCCCGGGCUCAACCUGGGUACUGCACCUGAUACUGGCAAGCUUGAGUCUCGUAGAGGGGGGUAGAAUUCCAGGUGUAGCGGUGAAAUGCGUAGAGAUCUGGAGGAAUACCGGUGGCGAAGGCGGCCCCCUGGACGAAGACUGACGCUCAGGUGCGAAAGCGUGGAGAGCAAACAGG